UACAGAGGUCCCGAGCGUUGUUCGGAUUCACUGGGCGUAAAGGGUGCGUAGGUGGCAUGGUAAGUUUGAUGUGAAAGCUCAGGGCUCAACCCUGAAAUGGCAUUGAAUACUACUGUGCUGGAGGUUUGGAGGGGGGACUGGAAUUCUUGGUGUAGCAGUGAAAUGCGUAGAUAUCAAGAGGAACACCGGUGGCGAAGGCGGGUCUCUGGGCAGUAACUGACGCUGAGGAGCGAAAGCGUGGGGAGCGAACAGG
rnacentral:rRNA from 1 species